UCUGCGUACCUUACCUGUUGCUUCCGCUGGGCAGUGAUCUCGGUCACCUGCGAACCGGAUGGCGCGAGCCGUUCGGUGGUAGAGUCCUCGCGAAUGGUCUACAUCAAACCCUUGCAUUUCUAUGUCAUCUGUCUGAACCUGUUUAUAACAAAUGUUAAAACUUUCAACAACGGAUCUCUUGGUUCUCGCAUCGAUGAAGAACGCAGCGAAAUGCGAUAAGUAGUGUGAAUUGCAGAAUUCAGUGAAUCAUCGAAUCUUUGAACGCACAUUGCGCCUCCUGGUAUUCCGGGAGGCAUGCCUGUUCGAGCGUCAUUAAAAACCACUCAAGCUCUUUUUGCUUGGUAUUGGGAGAUCGGAGCGUACCACGAUGGCGCUCCCUCCCGAAAUCCAAUGGCGGAAAGCCUCAGGUGCCCCGGCGUAGUAAGUUUUCUUUCGCUCGGAACCAGAGGGAUCC
rnacentral:rRNA from 1 species